CCUACGGGGGGCAGCAGUGGGGAAUAUUGCACAAUGGGGAAACCCCGAUGCAGCGACGCCGCGUGAGUGAAGAAGUAAUUCGUUAUGUAAAGCUCUAUCAGCAGGGGAGAAAAUGACGGUACCUGAGUAAGAAGCCCCGGCUAACUACGUGCCAGCAGCCGCGGUAAUACGUAGGGGGCAAGCGUUAUCCGGAUUUACUGGGGGUAAAGGGAGCGUAGACGGGGUGCCAAGUGUGAUGGGAAAGGCCGGGGCUCAACCCCGGGACGGCAUUGGAAACUGGCAUGCUGGAGUGCCGGAGGGGCAAGCGGAAUUCCUAGUGUAGCGGUGAAAUGCGUAGAUAUUAGGAGGAACACCGGUGGCGAAGGCGGCUUGCUGGACGGUAACUGACGUUGAGGCUCGAAAGCGUGGGGAGCAAACAGGAUUAGAUACCCCUGUAGUC
rnacentral:rRNA from 1 species